CUCAGUAAGUCGUAACAAGGUAACCGUUAGAGUUUGAUUCCUGGCUCAGGAUGAACGCUGGCGGUAUGCUUAACACAUGCAAGUCGAACGGGCUCUUUCGGGGGCAAGUGGCGGACGGGUGAGUAACGCGUGAGAAUCUGGCUCUAGGUUCGGGACAACCACUGGAAACGGUGGCUAAUACCGGAUGUGCCGAGAGGUGAAAGGUUAACUGCCUGGAGAUGAGCUCGCGUCUGAUUAGCUAGUUGGUGGUGUAAGGGACUACCAAGGCGACGAUCAGUAGCUGGUCUGAGAGGAUGAUCAGCCACACUGGAACUGAGACACGGUCCAGACUCCUACGGGAGGCAGCAGUGGGGAAUUUUCCGCAAUGGGCGAAAGCCUGACGGAGCAAUACCGCGUGAGGGAGGAAGGCUCUUGGGUUGUAAACCUCUUUUCUCAGGGAAUAAGCAAGUGAAGGUACCUGAGGAAUCAGCAUCGGCUAACUCCGUGCCAGCAGCCGCGGUAAUACGGAGGAUGCAAGCGUUAUCCGGAAUGAUUGGGCGUAAAGCGUCCGUAGGUAGCAGUGUGUGUCUAUUGUUAAAGAGUUUGGCUUAACCAAAUAAAGGCGGUAGAAACUACACAGCUAGAGUGCGUUCGGGGCAGAGGGAAUUCCUGGUGUAGCGGUGAAAUGCGUAGAGAUCAGGAAGAACACCGGUGGCGAAAGCGCUCUGCUAGGCCGCAACUGACACUGAGGGACGAAAGCUAGGGGAGCGAAUGGGAUUAGAUACCCCAGUAGUCCUAGCCGUAAACGAUGGAUACUAGGCGUUGAGAGUAUCGACCCUCUCAGUGCCGUAGCUAACG
rnacentral:rRNA from 1 species